AAGUCGUAACAAGGUAACCGUAGGUGAACCUGCGGUUGGAUCAUUAACAAAUUUAAAGAUCGAUUGAAAAUCUUUUUUUUCAAUCGUUCUCAACAUUAUGUGAACUUUUUAUUGUAUCUUGGUGAUUGUUGUUAUUUAAAAGCUUUUUUUUAUUUUUAAAAAAAAGCUGAAAAGGAAAACAUCACCAAAAUUAAACUUUUAUAAAUAUAUUAACCUGUCUUGAAUUUAAUUAUAUAUCUUAAUUUAAAACAACUUUUGACAACGGAUCUCUAGGCUCUC
rnacentral:misc_RNA from 1 species